AUGACAAAGAAAAGGAGUCAUCGCAGACGCAAUCUAAAUGCAAUGCAGAAAACAACUCGCACAGAAGACGCUGCUGUCAGUGCAAACGAAGACAGGCUUAGCAAGCUGCCGCAUGACCUUCUGCUCAACAUCCUGGAGAGGGUGGACACGCUCGAUGCAAUAAGGACCUGCAUCCUCUCCAAGCAAAUGCUUAAGCUCCCCACCAUGCUCUCGCAGUUCUUCCUAAGUUGUAGUUCCAUUCCAGGUUUCCAGGAUAAAACUCGUGUUAUCACCCCCAGUGACGUGCUUCGAACCAACAGUGUUGUGGCUCAUGUUACGGAUAACAUCUUGAGCACAAGGAGCCAGGAGAUCACCAUCAGGAAACUCAAAAUCAGAUUCGUCUUGAGGCUACAUGACUCUGUCAGCAUUGGCAAAUCUGUUGCCCGUGCCAUGGCAACCCAGAAGGUUGGUGCAGCUGAAUUUGAGGUCCUAACGGAGAAGCCUUAUGAGUGGUGCUCUCCUGCAGAUCUCCUCCAUUGUGCACAUCAGUUCAAUGAUUUUGUCGGUGCUUGUCAGGAUGCAUUUGCUGGCCUGAGGCGCCUGUGGUUGCGCAAUAUGAGGUUUAGUGAACUGGACAUCCAUAACAUACUCAGCACUUGCAAGCUCUUGGAGUCACUGCGUUUAACCGAUUGCGACUCAGGGAUCCAUUCUGUGCUGCAAGUAGAACAUGGUGAACUUGUUGAGCUUGAGGUCGAAUAUGGAAAAUUUGAGAGUGUGGAACUGAUAUAUGUACCAAAACUCCAACGGGUGAGAUAUAAGAGUUGGUCCUCUUAUAAAAAUCCUGUGUAUUUUGGUUUUGUACCACAGUUUACAAAGCUUAGCCUCAGUAAAACUGGUGUCUGUUUGGAUAAGACUCUUCAGUUAAGCCAGCUUCUUGCUAAUGUUCCUUCAAUAAGCGAUCUGCAUCUGAAUUUUGAAAGUGAGAAGACUUGGGUCCUGCCAGAAUGUCUGAAACUGCUCAAGCCUGUGCUCAGCAAAUUACAGCACGUCAGUCUGGAUCAUCUUCCUGAAGGAUGUGAUUUAGCUUGGACAAUGUUUAUUCUUGAAGCUGCACCCUUUCUAAGAGAGCUGUGCAUCACAGUAUGGGACCAUUGGUGCAUCAUGAUGACAGACAAAGACUUUCGAAAGGAAAAUGGCUACUGCGAAAAGGCAGAUGUGAAGUGGAAGCCAUAUGACCCUGAUUUCAAGCACAAGAAUCUAGUUAAGCUCACCAUCUAUGGCUUCCAAGCCGACAACAACUUUGUGCGGUACAUUAGGAGCGUCAUGGUACAUGCAGUUAAUAUGACAGAGAUAUCUCUUCAUGACAGGAAGGUAUGUGGGCGCUGUGGUACCUUGGGUCUCAAGGUUUGUCCAUCAAACUAUCCACGGACUGCCAAGAAGAGGGGGCAGAUAAUUGAGAUGGUUGGUUUGGCUUCACAGCAACAGAUCUACUUUCAGCCCUAA
rnacentral:rRNA from 1 species